rnacentral:rRNA from 1 species
CCUACGGGAGGCAGCAGUGGGGAAUAUUGGACAAUGGGCGAAAGCCUGAUCCAGCAAUGCCGCGUGAGUGAUGAAGGCCUUAGGGUUGUAAAGCUCUUUUACCAGGGAUGAUAAUGACAGUACCUGGAGAAUAAGCUCCGGCUAACUCCGUGCCAGCAGCCGCGGUAAUACGGAGGGAGCUAGCGUUGUUCGGAAUUACUGGGCGUAAAGCGCGCGUAGGCGGCGAUUCAAGUCAGAGGUGAAAGCCCGGGGCUCAACCCCGGAACUGCCUUUGAAACUAGAUUGCUAGAAUCUUGGAGAGGUCAGUGGAAUUCCGAGUGUAGAGGUGAAAUUCGUAGAUAUUCGGAAGAACACCAGUGGCGAAGGCGACUGACUGGACAAGUAUUGACGCUGAGGUACGAAAGCGUGGGGAGCAAACAGGAUUAGAUACCCUGGUAGUCCACGCCGUAAACGAUGAUAACUAGCUGUCCGGGCACUUGGUGCUUGGGUGGCGCAGCUACGCAUUAAGUUAUCCGUCCGUCGGGUAGGUACGGUCGCGAGAAUUAAACUAACAAUAGUAAGUUAGACGGCGUGAGACGUGACCGAACGGACGACGACGAGGGAGGUAGG